rnacentral:rRNA from 1 species
AUUGAACGCUGGCGGCAUGCCUUACACAUGCAAGUCGAACGGUAACGGGCCUUCGGGUGCCGACGAGUGGCGAGCGGGUGAGUAAUACAUCGGAACGUGCCCGAUCGUGGGGGAUAACGAGGCGAAAGCUUUGCUAAUACCGCAUACGAUCUACGGAUGAAAGCAGGGGACCGCAAUGCCUUGCUCGGACGGGGCGGCCGAUGGCGGAUUAGGUAGUUGGUGGGAUAAAAGCUUACCAAGCCGACGAUCUGUAGCUGGUCUGAGAGGAUGAUCAGCCACCUUGGGACUGAGACACGGCCCAGACUCCUACGGGAGGCAGCAGUGGGGAAUUUUGGACAAUGGGCGCAAGCCUGAUCCAGCCAUGCCGCGUGCAGGAUGAAGGCCUUCGGGUUGUAAACUGCUUUUGUACGGAACGAAAAGCCUUCUUUUAAUACAGGAGGGUCAUGACGGUACCGUAAGAAUAAGCACCGGCUAACUACGUG